rnacentral:rRNA from 1 species
UACGUAGGGUGCGAGCGUUAAUCGGAAUUACUGGGCGUAAAGCGUGCGCAGGCGGUUCGCUAAGACCGAUGUGAAAUCCCCGGGCUUAACCUGGGAACUGCAUUGGUGACUGGCGGGCUAGAGUAUGGCAGAGGGGGGUAGAAUUCCACGUGUAGCAGUGAAAUGCGUAGAGAUGUGGAGGAAUACCGAUGGCGAAGGCAGCCCCCUGGGCCAAUACUGACGCUCAUGCACGAAAACGUGGGGAGCAAACAGG